rnacentral:ncRNA from 1 species
UCGUUAUUUGGUCUCAACGAUCAAUUAAUAGUUUCUCCUCUAUUUCUCCUUUGUAGACUUGGCACACAUUCUAACGGAUGUGUGCAUUUUU